UACAGAGGUCCCAAGCGUUGUUCGGAUUCAUUGGGCGUAAAGGGUGCGUAGGCGGCGCGGUAAGUCGGGUGUGAAAUUUCGGAGCUUAACUCCGAAACUGCAUUUGAUACUGGCGUGCUUGAGGACUGGAGAGGAGACUGGGAAUUCAUGGUGUAGCAGUGAAAUGCGUAGAGAUCAUGAGGAAGACCAGUGGCGAAGGCGGGUCUCUGGACAGUUCCUGACACUGAGGCACGAAGGCCAGGGGAGCAAAACGGGG
rnacentral:rRNA from 1 species